AACGCUUAUAAAGAUAAAAUACAUCUUCCUCCUGUACUUAGUAUAGUAACAUGUAUAUCUAGACUGCGAGCAGUCCCUCAGGAGAAGGGAGGGACUUCCGACAACACAUCAAGAAACGAAAUACGCAUUGCCCACACAACGCAAAAUUCCCAUUGGUCGAAAUCGAUAUGCCUGUCAAUCAAAUUUGAUCACAGGGGGCUCAACUAAUGUCAGUAACAAGUGUAAAAUAAUCAAAGUAAUAAACUUACAUUAAAGAUGCUGUAAAGUCCGUAAUGUAAACAAACGCUUUGUUUACAUUUUGAACUCAGUGCUACAGUUGUAAAAUAUGAUUAGAUAUAUAUUAUACUGAAUUUUUAGCACUCUUCUGGUUCGCUAUGCUUGUAAAUUAAUACAGACUAGAUAUUCAAUUCAAUAAAGUUCGGAAGGUGCGAAAUAUUAAUAACAUUCCAAUGGUCGGAUCCCGACCAUUGGAAUGUAGCCCUGCGCAGAACGUAUGCGCAGAACGGACUUUACGUUAGAGCAAAUAAAUGAUCAAUAUGAAGUACUACAGAAUCCUCAGCAGCUAAGUAAUGCGGGCGCGUAUGAGGUCAUAGCAUAAUUAAUAAUAGAUAAAGUAAUAAAAAGGAAGGAUUGAAACACUGGUCACAUGAUUUUCUAAAAUGCUUCUAAUUUAACCGUUUCGACAUAAUUUGAUUAGGUACAACGUUUUAGCAUUCUCUUAGACGAACAAAGAUAUCUAGUAAAGAAAUAACACAGAUAAACCUUUCCCUGAAUGAUUUUUAACAGCAGGCUUUCUUCGCAAUUUUCGCGAAAUGUCUACCAAGACUAGCCUAUCCAGUCGGAUGCAGUUCGGCACUCGUGAGAUGCUAGAAUUUGCAUUUAGAUUUUUAAAAUAGAGUUUGUUGGCGCCGGUAUAGACUAUAGUUUCAAUAUUAAGUUUUUAAAAAUGUAAAUCAUCAGAAAUUGCUUUAUAAAAUCAAAAAUAGCUUUGAGAAUUGAGAU